AGAGUUUGAUCAUGGCUCAGGAUGAACGCUGACAGAAUGCUUAACACAUGCAAGUCUACUUGAUCCUCGGGUGAAGGUGGCGGACGGGUGAGUAACGCGUAAAGAACUUGCCUUACAGACUGGGACAACAUUUGGAAACGAAUGCUAAUACCGGAUAUUAUGAUUGGGUCGCAUGAUCUGGUUAUGAAAGCUAUAUGCGCUGUGAGAGAGCUUUGCGUCCCAUUAGUUAGUUGGUGAGGUAACGGCUCACCAAGACGAUGAUGGGUAGCCGGCCUGAGAGGGUGAACGGCCACAAGGGGACUGAGACACGGCCCUCACUCCUACGGGAGGCAGCAGUGGGGAAUAUUGGACAAUGGACCAAAAGUCUGAUCCAGCAAAUUCUGUGUGCACGAUGAAGUUUUUCGGAAUGUAAAGUGCUUUCAGUUGGGAAGAAGUCAGUGACGGUACCAACAGAAGAAGCGACGGCUAAAUACGUGCCAGCCGCUGC
rnacentral:rRNA from 1 species